rnacentral:rRNA from 1 species
GAGCGUUUGAUCCUGGCUCAGGACGAACGCUGGCGGCGUGCUUAACACAUGCAAGUCGAGCGAUGAAAUCCCUUCGGGGAUGGAUUAGCGGCGGACGGGUGAGUAACACGUGGGCAACCUGCCUCAAAGUGGGGGAUAGCCUUCCGAAAGGGAGAUUAAUACCGCAUAACAUUAGUUUUUCACAUGAAUUACUAAUUAAAGGAGUAAUCCGCUUUGAGAUGGGCCCGCGGCGCAUUAGCUAGUUGGUGAGGUAACGGCUCACCAAGGCCACGAUGCGUAGCCGACCUGAGAGGGUGAUCGGCCACAUUGGAACUGAGACACGGUCCAGACUCCUACGGGAGGCAGCAGUGGGGAAUAUUGCACAAUGGGCGAAAGCCUGAUGCAGCAACGCCGCGUGAGUGAUGAAGGCCUUCGGGUUGUAAAGCUCUGUCUUUGGGGACGAUAAUGACGGUACCCAAGGAGGAAGCCACGGCUAACUACGUGCCAGCAGCCGCGGUAAUACGUAGGUGGCGAGCGUUGUCC